AGAUCAUGUUGAGGAAAAUUCCGAAGAAAUCCUUUGUAUCUCUCCCAAGCUUCAUAUAAGGAAUUGCCAUCAUUUUGUUGGAAGCUAGCAAUCUUCUUUUUGAGUUU